GCCAACAAACCCUCAGACUUAGUCUCUGUGUAGUUUUUAGAAGAUAAACCACACGUGUUGUGUUAAUAGCUAAAAGGCAGACUCACUUAAGAAAGCAGAAACGGAAGUAUCAAAAUCUAGAGAUUUUCUAAUGAUGUGCUUCUGUGAAGUUUAGCUGCAUUAAUUAAUUUAGCUGGGUUGGGGUGAGUGAGGGCUCUGCCACGUGGUGGCCACUCCAAGAGGCUGGCUCUCCUCUGCUUUCCCUUAGAACAGUCCUCUGUAGAGCCCAAUGGUCAUAAUGUGACCAAUCUCCUGAUUUGUGGUGGAAGUCUCGAGGAAAUCAGGGAAGGAGGGUGAGAAGUAUCCUAGUCCCAGGGAGGACAUUUAGAACAUUGGAUUUUUCUUCCUUGAGCAGGCUUGUGAUGUGUGAUCCCUUCAAGCAGAAAGUGUAGAGGAGUGACCCUGAAGAUGUGUGACCACUCACAUACCACGCAAGACUUCUCGAGACUUCCAGGUUUUCCUUACUGGUAGAGAGCUGGGCAACGGAGCAUACGCACACAAGUUCUCAACUUCUACAGUCUCUUUCUGGUCACAACCAGAAUCUAGUGACUGAAAUCAGAAGAAUUUCACCCACUCCUAAGUGUGGGCAAGACCAGAAAAAAUGUAUAUCAAUCAUCAAGAGUCAAAAACUCGGCUUCAACAAUAUGUCGCUGGUGAGUUUAACAAGCUUCACUUUUGACAUAAACAAAACACAGCAUUGUAGUCUUUCCCCAUCAUACUUUAAGCCUGAUUCAGUGGGAUUAAUUUUCCUCUGCCCCAAGAUGUCAACUCUGGCAGAUCUUAUGCUUUUGCCUCCAGUCUUAUAAAAAAGAUCCUCCAAGGUCACUUUAGGUUGCAAACACAAUCUUAGUUCAGUAAUUAGAAUGUCACGGCGAAGAUGUUAAUCAAAACUUAGAACGUGACAGCAUUCCGUUGUUUGCCUUCCUUCAGCUCUGACUUGCUUCAGGCAUGGUCCUCCUGUCUUUACUCCUUCUCCC
ensembl:lncRNA